UACGUAGGGGGCAAGCGUUGUCCGGAAUCAUUGGGCGUAAAGCGCGCGUAGGCGGCCCUGUAAGUCCGUUGUGAAAGUCGAAGGCUCAACCUUCGAAAGCCGAUGGAUACUGCAGGGCUAGAGUCCGGAAGAGGCGAGUGGAAUUCCUGGUGUAGCGGUGGAAUGUGCAGAUAUCAGGAGGAACACCGGUGGCGAAGGCGGUUCUCUGGGCAUGUCCUGACGCUGAGGAGCGAAAGUGUGGGGAGCGAACAGG
rnacentral:rRNA from 1 species